AUUGAACGCUGGCGGCGUGCCUAACACAUGCAAGUCGAGCGGCAGCGCGGGAGCAAUCCUGGCGGCGAGCGGCGAACGGGUGAGUAAUGCUUCGGAAUCUGCCCAUGUAGUGGGGAAUAACCAGCCGAAAGGUUGGCUAAUACCGCAUACGACCUACGGGUGAAAGCAGGGGGAUCGCAAGACCUUGCGCUAUUGGAUGAGCCGAAGUCGGAUUAGCUAGNGGUAGGGUAACGGCCUACCAAGGCGACGAUCCGUAGCUGGUCUGAGAGGACGACCAGCCACACUGGGACUGAGACACGGCCCAGACUCCUACGGGAGGCAGCAGUGGGGAAUAUUGACAAUGGGCGCAAGCCUGAUCCAGCGAUGCCGCGUGUGUGAAGAAGGCC
rnacentral:rRNA from 1 species